UGGGGAAUAUUGGACAAUGGGCGAAAGCCUGAUCCAGCCAUGCCGCGUGUGUGAAGAAGGUCUUCGGAUUGUAAAGCACUUUAAGUUGGGAGGAAGGGCAUUAACCUAAUACGUUAGUGUUUUGACGUUACCGACAGAAUAAGCACCGGCUAACUCUGUGCCAGCAGCCGCGGUAAUACAGAGGGUGCAAGCGUUAAUCGGAAUUACUGGGCGUAAAGCGCGCGUAGGUGGUUUGUUAAGUUGGAUGUGAAAUCCCCGGGCUCAACCUGGGAACUGCAUUCAAAACUGACUGACUAGAGUAUGGUAGAGGGUGGUGGAAUUUCCUGUGUAGCGGUGAAAUGCGUAGAUAUAGGAAGGAACACCAGUGGCGAAGGCGACCACCUGGACUAAUACUGACACUGAGGUGCGAAAGCGUGGGGGGCAAACA
rnacentral:rRNA from 1 species